CAAGCGGUGGAGUAUGUUGUUUAAUUCGAAGAUACACGAAGAACCUUACCAGGUCUUGACAUACCAUUGACAGGUGUAGAGAUACACUCUCCUUCGGGCAAUGGAUACAGGUGGUGCAUGGUUGUCGUCAGCUCGUGCCGUGAGGUGUUGGGUUAAGUCCCGCAACGAGCGCAACCCUCAUUGUUAGUUACUACCAUUCAGUUGAGGACUCUAAUGAGACUGCCAACGACAAGUUGGAGGAAGGUGGGGAUGACGUCAAAUCAUCAUGCCCUUUAUGACCUGGGCUACAAACGUACUACAAUGGCCAAUACAAAGAGAUGCGAAGCGGUGACGUGAAGCGAACCUCAGAAAGUUGGUCUCAGUUCAGAUUGAAGUCUGCAACUCGACUUCAUGAAGGCGGAAUCGCUAGUAAUCGCGGGUCAGCAGACCGCGGUCGAAUACGUUCCCGGGCCUU
rnacentral:rRNA from 1 species